GGAAAUGAGGCCUAUAUCUGAAGGAAACAGAUGUGUGGUACACGGACGACACCAACUCUCCCAUCACCAAGCUGUCCUCAGUUGCCCAGGAGAGCCACAGUGCCUUGAGAACAUAAGCAAUGUAGUGAAGAGUUCUUUUCAGAAUUUCCUUUUUCUUAAGAUGAAUAGCCUUGCAAGAUAGAGAUCGUGUCUCCCUCCAGAGCAAAGGGCAGAUUAGCUUCAAUGAUUACAGAAAAUCCCGGUUCCUGGGCUCAGAGCUCCUCUGCUGUAAC
rnacentral:sRNA from 1 species